GAUGAACGCUGGCGGCGUGCCUAAUACAUGCAAGUCGAGCGAAUGGAUUAAGAGCUUGCUCUUAUGAAGUUAGCGGCGGACGGGUGAGUAACACGUGGGUAACCUGCCCAUAAGACUGGGAUAACUCCGGGAAACCGGGGCUAAUACCGGAUAACAUUUUGAACCGCAUGGUUCGAAAUUGAAAGGCGGCUUCGGCUGUCACUUAUGGAUGGACCCGCGUCGCAUUAGCUAGUUGGUGAGGUAACGGCUCACCAAGGCAACGAUGCGUAGCCGGCCUGAGAGGGGGAUCGGCCACACUGGGACUGAGACACGGCCCAGACUCCUACGGGAGGCAGCAGUAGGGAAUUGUCCGCAAUUGACGAAAGUCUGACGGAGCAACGCCGCGUGAGUGAUGAAGGCUUUCGGGUCGUAAAACUCUGUUGUUAGGGAAGAACAAGUGCUAGUUGAAUAAGCUGGCACCUUGACGGUACCUAACCAGAAAGCCACGGCUAACUACGUGCCAGCCGCCGCCGUAA
rnacentral:rRNA from 1 species